GAAUCAACGCUGGCGGCGUGCUUAACACAUGCAAGUCACGGGGGCCCGCAAGGGGUAACCGGCGAACGGGUGCGUAACACGUGAACAACCUGCCCUCGUGUGGGGGAUAGCCAUGCUAACGCGUGGGUAAUACCGCCAUACGGUUCUCUUUGGGGAGUCCCGAGGAGAGGAAAGCUCCGGCGCACGGGGGAGGGGUUCGCGGCCUAUCAGCUAGUUGGCGGGGUAAUGGCCCACCAAGGCGACGACGGGUAGCNGGUCUGAGAGGAUGGCCAGCC
rnacentral:rRNA from 1 species